rnacentral:rRNA from 1 species
UACGUAGGUGGCAAGCGUUGUUCGGAAUUAUUGGGCGUAAAGGGCGCGUAGGCGGUUUGCUAAGUCAGUUGUGAAAGCCCGGGGCUCAACCCCGGAGGGUCGGCUGAUACUGGUGGACUAGAGUACGGAAGAGGUAGCUGGAAUUCCCGGUGUAGCGGUGAAAUGCGUAGAUAUCGGAAGGAACACCAGUGGCGAAAGCGGCUUCCUGGUCCAGCACCGACGUUCAGGCACGAAAGCGUGGGGAGCAAACAGG